AGGGUUUGGGUUUUACCUUGCCUUGGAAGGAAUCGGAGUGUUCGCCAUCGAUCCGGUCGGGAGGACCUCGCCGGAGGCAAGGGGAACAAUCUGUUGGACGAGAGGACGUUGAGCGGGAUUCUGUGCAUUCCGGUUCUUUAUCGCCGUGAGGGCGGGUGAUUGGUUGUCUAAAUUUUCAACAAAGAGUUGCAGGAUGCUUAGAUUUGGAUGGGAUGGGCGCAGAG